UGCAAAAAAUCAGACGUGUACUGCAUCUAAAUAAUAAUACAGAAAAAUGAUGUAAUAGCAUUUAUUUUUACAUCUUGUUAUAUAUACACAAAAGCCAAAAGGACAAAAUUCUAAUUGAAAUAUUUAACAUUUUUUGACAUGUGAUUCUCUAUUGGCAAGUUGAUAGUACUUGAAGUAAUUAUUUUGAAAUGGAUCCACUUUUGUUUUAAGUCUGUACCGGUAGUUAAUAUUUAAUGAACUAUGUUUUACAAACUGUAAAUUUCACUCAGUUGAUCGGAAUAACUUGACCGGGUAAAACAUUGAUGUAAUGGAUUUAUAUGAGCUGACAUGAAUUAUUGUUUUGUUCAUCUAGUAUUAAUGCUGUGAGAGGCCAUGGGAGGUCUAUUGAAGACCUCAAAAGUAAAUGGAAACAACUUAAGUGCCGGACUGUUGCAAAGGCACGAAAAAACCAUAAAGAAGUACAGAAGACAGGCGGUGAGGAGCCAGUAAAGGGACUCAAUACUGUUCAAGAAAAGGUACUCUCCUGUGUCCCAAAGGUGGUCCUGGAUGGGCUGAAAGGGAAUGACACCGGACCAAU